CCUACGGGAGGCAGCAGUAGGGAAUGUUGCGCAAUGGGGGAAACCCUGACGCAGCAACGCCGCGUGAUUGAUGAAGCCCUGCGGGGUGUAAAGAGCUGUCAGUGGGGACGAAACCUGACGGUACCCACAGAGGAAGCACCGGCUAACUCCGUGCCAGAAGCCGCGGUAAUACGGGGGGUGCAAGCUUUGGCCGGAACCAUGGGGCGUAAAGAGUGCGUAGGUGGCACGUUAAGUCUUGUUUUAAAGGCGGCAGCUCAACUUCCGUAGGGCACUGGAUACUGGCGAGCUUGAAUUCGGUAGGGGUCACGUGCAUUCCUUGUGUCGCGGUUAACUGCGUAGAUAUCAGGAGGUCCUUCGGUGGC
rnacentral:rRNA from 1 species